AAGCAACUAGUUUGCUUGGUCAUGAGCUUAUAAACUGGAUAUUAGGAUUCUCUAGCUGGGUUAGUGCGCAGAAAUGUUAUGUAAGGGAGUUGAAUAAAUGGCUCAUGAAGUGUCUUCUCUAUGAACCUGAGGAAACAGCCGAUGGUAUCGCUCCUUUUUCGCCUGGUCGGCUUGGUGCUCCACCGAUCUUUGUGAUCUGUAACCAAUGGUCUCAAGCUUUGGACAGGAUCUCCGAGAAGGAAGUGAUUGAGGCAAUGCGUAGCUUCACCACGAGUGUGCUUCAGCUUUGGGAACAAGAUCGGUUAGAAACGACGGUGAUGGGGCAGGAGAAAGUUAGGAGCAUGGACCGGGAAGAGCAGAGGAUACACAGGGAGAUUCAAGCGCUGGAAAAGAAAAUGGUUCUGGUUGCACCUGGUGAUGGUCUUUUGGUAUCUGGGAACGUUGUUUACCAGAGUGAUACUAGUAGCGAUAGUUUACAAGGUAGUUUGCAGAGGAUUUUUGAAGCUAUGGAGAGGUUCACUGAUGAGUGUAUGAGAGCUUAUGAUGAUCUCUUGGUGCGUGCUGAAGAAGUAACUGCUCCGAGAGAAAGUGAGGAAUGAUAAACAAAACUAGAGGAAGAUCUUUGCUUGAUCUUGCAAUGGUGGAACCAACCAGAAUCAUCUGCGUCUCAUUCUGAGCCUCAUGCAUGAAGAGCCCCACAAGUGGAUGAUGAUCUAAGAGGAGGCAUAAUCCUUGUAAAAAGACGGCCAGUUCUAUGGUUAAGAGAUACGGUUUAGUGCAAAUUGACUUUGAACCGGAUGGUUAACAUAAACCAUAUAUGAGGCAGGUAGCAUAUAUUAGUUAAGUUCUAAUAAUUUUUAUAUUCAGGCAAUGUACAUUAGGCGUUUAGGACUAAACUUUUGACGAUUCUCAGCAAUUAUUUUUGUAGAAUCCGAGGGUAGCUCAGGGAAGUCUCUCUUUCUUUUGAAGUACUAAAGAUGUGACCUUUUGGUUGCAGAAACUAGAUUACCCUAAGCAGCAUUGAGCUUCUCACUAAUCCAGGUUAUUAGUACUAGUAUUUAACAUGUGACCUUUUGUUUUGUCGCAUUAUUCUCCCUGUAUAUGUAUUUUGCUCACAUGAUAAAUUUUGUAUAAAAAAAAGAAGAAAGUUAUCAUGAAGUGGGAAAAAUGGGUGAAUGAUUUACGUUUUCUCGUUGUAAGAAAUUUUUUGUUUGAUAAUAUGCAAAUUAUGCAUGCCUGUAAAAGUUACUAGGCAUAAGAAUAAAGACAUAAUCAUUUUAUGAGAAGUUACAAACUAUUUCCAAUCAUUUACCUGACCAGCUUUAAACAUUAAUGAUUCAUGUGAGUAAACUAUACUCCCUCCGUUUCAUAAUACUUGAUCUUUUGUAAUAAUGCACAAAGAUUAAGAAAAUUACAUUUCUCUAGAAAAAUAUUUUAAAGAUAUAAUUUUAAAUUCAGUUAACCAAUUAUAAAAAAAACUGUAAAAUCUAAUUGGUUGAACAGUUUCCAAUAAAGUUAAAGUUAACCAUAAAAUCUCAAAACUUCCUUAAAAUCUCAAAACUUCAUGUAAAUUGAAACAAAACAAACCUUCUAAAACAUCAUCUAUAUUGAAACGGAGGGAGUAUAAUAAACCCACCCAAUGGUCCAUUCUUUUUUUCAGUUAGUCCCUGCGCCAAUAGUUAACGACUUUGUGUUGCUGUGCCAAACAUGAUUAGCGUGAACUUGACGUCUCGUGUGUCAAUCUAUAUGUCCUGUUUGUUUGUUGCAAAAGUAAUAAAUUGAAAAAAUUAUGUACCAUGAAGAGAAUAAGAGUGCCAUUAGUUAUUGUUGUGACCCAACCAGAACCAUGUAUUUAUUACAAAUUAGAGAUAGUGCUUGAGCAUCUAAUCAUAUAAGAAAUGCAAUUACAUAGGAGAAUCUUUGGAUAACUUCACUCUCUUCCUUUUCUACACAAAAGAGACAGCUCUUGUGUCCUCGAAAGCCUGAUUCUCUGUUUCAUUCUCCAAAGCUAAUAAUAGGAAACAAACAUUGCAAGAACUUUUCAUUGGCAUACAUCCACGUUGAGAAUAUACAAACUACUUUUCUCGCCGUUGAUCCAUUUUCUUGACCAUGAAUUUUAGUCUAGCGGUCUAUAUCAUAAAGCACUGUAUAACCAUAUCUAACUCAAAUGUGGUAAUCUGCAAUAUGCGUUUUAACUGUAAACAAAUCACAAUUUAAAUAAAAUUUUAACACUUAGCCAUAUUAGUUUAUGUGGCUUCCAAAAAUAGAUGGUAACACAUUCAGAGUGAAGAACUUUUUUUUGGUUUCAGAGUUUCAAAAGUUAACUUCUUAAAAUGUAAAUAUGUCACAGUCUGUUCAAACCCUUUAAAGAAAAUUGAUUUUCACAUUACUCUAAUUAGAAGGCACGUCAAUAAUCCAGAAAUGUCACACGGUUUCAUAGGUCAGCUACAUAAAAAAAGAAUCUUAAAUGAAAAAUGAAUAAAAAGCGAGAAAGAAAGUAGGAAUGGUUGAUGAUAAGGCACUCCAAUCACAAAACACAUUGAGCUGGCGAUAAUGAUAUUUUCCCAAAAAUCUUACAGUAUUUGGUACCACAAAGUGUUUAUCAUUAUCAAUAACAUAGGAAUCAAUUUAUAUUGUAAUAUAGUAUAGUAUAUACAGAAAAGAAGUUGACUUGUGCUGUUUUUUUUUUUUUGCCUUUUCAAUUUUCAAAUCCAUUGGUUAAACAUUUAGAAACUCAUAAAUCCUACUAAAACAUAAAGAGAUGCAUACUUCAGAGUUGACCUUAUAAAAUCUUUGUUUUAUAGACCUUAUAAAUUCUAAAAUCUUAUUUUUACCGCUGAUAUAUUAAAUUUAUAAUUAUAAAGUUUUCCCAACUUUUUAUUUUAUUUUGUAGUGGUACCAUAUUGACAAGUAGGAGACAAUGUCUCAGAAACUUACCACAGGAGUCAAAAAGACAAACUUAAAAAAAGAGAACAAUUUUUAUUUUAUUUCCAUUAAUAUCUUCUCUUCUCUCUCUCUCUCUCUAUUACAAGAAGCAAAAGAUAAACACUUUCCGACAAGCCAGAGAAAAAGAUUGGAACCUUCAUUUCAUGGGUUGUUGUCAAUCCUUGUGUCCGGAUGAACAAAACCCACUUCGGAAAGAUGGAGCUCAGCCGCCACAACCGGCUCAAACCCACCGCGGCGGCGCUACGACGGCUGCUGGACUCGAUAACGGCGGAGAUGGAGGAGUAAUCCCGUCUUUCUCAGAGUUCUCUUUGGCCGACCUAAAAGCAGCCACGAACAACUUCAGCUCAGACAACAUCGUAUCAGAAAGCGGAGAGAAAGCCCCGAAUCUUGUAUACAAAGGCAGACUUCAGAACCGUCGCUGGAUCGCCGUCAAGAAGUUUACUAAGAUGGCUUGGCCUCAUCCUAAACAAUUCGCGGUACCAAAAAGAAAGACCCUUUGUAAGGCUAACGGGCUUUGGUCUUUUUAAUUUAAUUCAAUUCGGGAAAAAAAGAAAAAUACAAAAAGUCUAGUCAAUGAGAGAAGAACAAACCAUGACGACGUGAGCAUCACACCUGAAGCCUGAAGAUCUGUUUUGGUAACAACAUCCAUUCAGUUACGUCUUUAGUUUGAACACCCAAACUAACUACACACUAGACUUUUUAAAAAGAAUAAUUUAUAUUUUUUGUCAAAAAAAAAAAGAAUAAUUUAUUUUCCCCUAAACCAUAAUAAAUAUUAAAUCUUGACUUUCCAUACACCUAAUUCAUUUAUUAGAAAAAGAAGUCGUGUACAUUCCUCGUUUAUUUUCUGACGUUACCCGUUACCAUCAUGUAAUAAUGAGUGUCCAAAUCAAAUACUGUCGUUACGUAAUUAGAGACUAAAGGUAACGGUAUUCUGGAGAAUAUAACAAAAUGGUCAAAACGGGUCAAAGUUACCAUCAAACACAAAGCCAAAGUUAGAGUAGUACUAUACUUAAAAGACCAGAACUAACCGUAUCUUUGUUUUAAGAUCCAUGUCUUGUGUCUGAACCUCUCAAAGUACUAUCCGAGAUAAGGUUUUCACUUUUUUUUUUCUUCCGGAUUUGGGUAAAUUAAUUUGGUGAGAUUAAUAGUAAUUAAUUAGAUGAUAAAGAAGAAAACACCGACUGAUCCUGUGGAGAGAAACAGACGAAAAUCUCGGUGCUGGCAAAGAUUCCUUCACAGUCCUUUUGCUGUUUGUUUUCCCUUCUUCUUCUUCUUCAUUUUUGAACUAAAUCAUUCAUUUUGAUCUCUCUUUCUCUCCUAAAUUUGAAAUAAUACUCUCUCGAGAAAACAACCACUUCACUCUUUCUUUCUAUCACUAUCAACACACACCUUCUUUGCACCUUACUCGCCUCCCCUUCUUCCUCUCACCUACCUUUCAUCUCUCUCUAUCUCUCCCUAUUAUUUUCUCAAAUCUUGUCUUUCUUUUUAAUUUAAUUUUUUGUUGGUAAAUUAACUAGUGAUGGGUUGUACAAGUUCUAAGCUGGACGAUCUUCCGGCGGUUGCUCUCUGCCGUGAACGGUGCAAUUUCCUAGAAGCGGCGAUUCAGCAACGUUACCAUUUAGCCGAAUCACACGUGGCGUACACACACUCGCUUAAAGGAAUAGGUCACUCACUCCAUCUCUUCAUCAACCACCACCACCGUUUCGUCGCUUCUCCCAGACUCAACCUUCCUCCUCAAAGAAAAGGCGACCCCGAAGAACAAGAAAACAAAGGAGUAGAAAAUUCCCCUAAGAAAGCAAAGCUACCUUCUCCUCACCAUCCGGGUUCGGGUACUGAUUCGGGUCAUCUCGAGUUCGAUUCGGACUCCGAAGACGAUGAUGAAGAAUUCCAUUUGGAUUCGGACCACCACCACCAUCUCGGAAAUUUUGAAACCGGGCCUUACAUGGGAGCACAACCGGGUUAUACCCGGUACCCGAACCCGGAAAUGAUGGGUCAUCAUCUUCCUCCUACUCCUUAUAUGCACAUGAACUACAUGAAGAACAGUUCGAUGCCUCCUUCAGUCAUCUACGAGCAAAGACCAAGUAGCCCUCAAAAAGUCUACAUAGGCGAAUCAUCAUCUUCUUCUACUUACCCUUACAAUUCCGGACCCGGACCCGGACCCGGAUACUACGGUUCUUCAACUGAUGCUCCAGCCUCUAAACCGCCUCCGCCUCCGCCUCCUCCGUCCCCGCCUAGGUCCAACGGGUGGGAUUUUUUAAACCCGUUUGAUACUUACUAUCCUUCGUAUACUCCGAGUCGAGACUCGAGGGAGCUUAGAGAGGAAGAAGGUAUACCCGAGCUGGAGGAAGACGACGAUUCACAGUACGAGGCUGUUAAGGAAGUUCACGGUGGUGAUAAUCAACCGACUCCUGCUGUUGUUUACAGGGAAGAGUCUGAUUCUCCGUCUCCGUCUCCGCGGCUGUCUGUUGAUAAAUCUGGAGCCAGCACUAGUGGUGGAGGUGCGGCUAUGUAUCAGACUAGGCCGAGCGUGUCGGUGGAGAAGAAAGGGGUUGAGUACGAAGUGCACGUUGUCGAGAAGACGGUUGUUGAAGAUGGCGGAAACGAGAGCAAUGCCACGGCGACACGUGGAGGAGGAGGAGGAGGUGGGCCACGUGCGGUGCCUGAGGUUGCUAAAGAGAUUGAGAAUCAGUUCCUGAAAGCUGCGGAGUCAGGAAGUGAGAUCGCUAAGUUACUUGAAGUUGGGAAGCGUCCUUACGGUCGGAAACAUGGUAAUAAAACUUUUCAGUUUUGUCCGAAUGAUCUUGUGAUCUUUCAAUAAUUAAGUAAAAAAUGAAACUUUUUGUUUGGACCAGCUUCUUCGCAGUUGUUGCACGGGGUUACUCCUUCUGUUGCUGAGCCGCCAACGUAUGCAGACAUUGAAGAAGAGCUUGCUUCGAGGUCAAGGAACCUUUCUUCCACAUUGCACAAACUCCAUCUCUGGGAGAAGAAGCUUUACCGAGAAGUGAAGGUAACGUUAAUCUCUUAUAACACUCCGAUGUGUUUCAGCUCCUUUGUCUGAAUAAAGCUUCUACUCUUGUCUAGGCUGAGGAAAAAUUGCGUGUAGCUCACGAGAAGAAGGUAAGGAAGCUAAAGCGUUUGGAUGAAAGAGGUGCUGAAGCUAACAAAGUGGAUACAACAAGGAAGCUAGUAAGAGACAUGAACACAAAGAUACGGAUUGCGAUUCAGGUUGUGGAUAAAAUCUCUGUGACUAUUAAUAAGAUUAGAGAUGAAGAUCUAUGGCCGCAACUCAAUGCAUUGAUCCAAGGGUAAUAAUAACCUUGCCCCUACAUGUUUUUAGAUAUUUGCGUUUGGAGAUGUUGAUUCUGUGUUUGGUUUGCUUCUCAGGCUUACAAGGAUGUGGAAAGAGAUGCUAGAGUGUCAUCAGAUUCAGUGCCAGGCUAUAAAGGAAGCUAGAGGGCUAGGGUCUAUAAGAGCUAGCAAGAAGCUAGGCGAUGAGCAUCUUGAAGCAACUAGUUUGCUUGGUCAUGAGCUUAUAAACUGGAUAUUAGGAUUCUCUAGCUGGGUUAGUGCGCAGAAAUGUUAUGUAAGGGAGUUGAAUAAAUGGCUCAUGAAGUGUCUUCUCUAUGAACCUGAGGAAACAGCCGAUGGUAUCGCUCCUUUUUCGCCUGGUCGGCUUGGUGCUCCACCGAUCUUUGUGAUCUGUAACCAAUGGUCUCAAGCUUUGGACAGGAUCUCCGAGAAGGAAGUGAUUGAGGCAAUGCGUAGCUUCACC
rnacentral:lncRNA from 1 species